UGCUUACGAGUGGCGAACGGGUGAGUAAGAGGAAGGAACGUGCCCGAUGGUGGGGGAUAACGAGGCGAAAGCUUUGCUAGUACCGCAUACGAUCUACGGAUGAAAGCGGGGGAUCUUCGGACCUCGCGCGGACGGAGCGGCCGAUGUCAGAUUAGGUAGUUGGUGGGAUAAAAGCUUACCAAGCCGACGAUCUGUAGCUGGUCUGAUAGGAUGAUCACCCACACUGGGACUGAGACACGGUCCAGACUCCUACGGGAGGCAGCAGUGGGGAAUUUUGGACAAUGGGCGAAAGCCUGAUCCAGCCAUGCCGCGUGCAAGAUGAAGGCCUUCGGGUUGUAAACUGCUUUUGUACGGAACGAAAAGCCUCUUUCUAAAAAAGAGGGGUCAUGACGGUCCCGUACGAAUAAGCACCGGCUAACUACGUGCCAGCAUCCGCGGUAAUACGUAGGGUGCAAGCGUUAAUCGGAAUUACUGGGCGUAAAGCGUGCUCAGGCGGUUUUGUAAGACAGAGGUGAUAUCCCCGGGCUCAACCUGGGAACUGCCUUUGUGACUGCAAGGCUGGAGUGCGGCGGAAGGUGAUGGAAUUCCACGAGUAGCAAUGAAAUGCGUAAUAUGCAAAGGAACACCGAUGGCGAAGGCAAUCCCCUGGGCCUGCACUGACUCUCAUGCUCGAAAGCGUUGGGAGCAAACAGGAUUAGAUACCCUGGUAUCCACGCCCUUAACAAUCUCACUGGAUGUUGGGACUUCACUGACUCAGAAGCUAAACCUACUCCAGAACUUCACCGCACUGGAGUAGUACAGUCCGCCAUGGUGAAAACUCAACGCAAUUGAGAGGCGACACGCCAAAUGCAGGGGGAUGAUGCGGAUUAAAGUCGAUGCAACGGUUAAAAUCUUUACCCACCCUU
rnacentral:rRNA from 1 species